GUGGCAAUAGCUCAGUGGUAGAGCUCCGGCUUCAUACGCCGUAAUACCUGGGUUGGAUUCCCCGGUGCCUUC
rnacentral:tRNA from 1 species